UACGGGGGGGGCAAGCGUUGUUCGGAAUUACUGGGCGUAAAGGGCGCGUAGGCGGUCAGACCAAGUCGAGUGUGAAAUUCCAGGGCUUAACUCUGGCACGCUCGCUCGAUACUGGUCGGCUAGAGUGUGGAAGAGGAUGCUGGAAUUCCCGGUGUAGCGGUGAAAUGCGUAGAUAUCGAGAGGAACACCUGCGGCGAAGGCGGGUUGCUGGGCUGAUACUGACGCUGAGGCGCGAAAGCUAGGGGAGCGAACGGG
rnacentral:rRNA from 1 species